UUUUUUUUUUAUGAGACAGGGUUUCUCUGCAUUGCUUUGGAGGCUGUUGGUCCAGCCCGGCCUCGAACUCACAGAGAUCCGCCUGCCUCUGCCUCCCGAGUGUAAGGUUUUUAUCUAUUAGUUAGAGAAUGUUCUGACAAAGACAGGCAAGGAAUGGCUGUUUGAAGCUAAAGCUAGCCCAAGAUACAGCGAUUCCUGGCCUCUGGGCCAUCUCCUUAUGCUGAGGCUUCUUCCGGGUUCUCAUCCACAGCGGGUAUCUGGCUUUCCACCCCAUUUGAAGUCAUCCAACCCAUGCCCUCUCCCUGGGUGUUCAGAACCAAGAGACACCCCCGGCUCCCCUCCCGAUGGGAUUUAGGUUGUAUUCCUUCCCGAGAGUCAGUCUUCUUGUUUCUAGCCACCAGGAAAUGCUGGCCCAACCCUUGGGUCCAGCACACAGAAGUGUUUUUGUCCUGACCCUGCCUCUGGGUGAGGUGUUUACUGCUGGGCUGGCCCAAAUGAGUGUGUUUCUUGGGAAACUGUCAGCUAAUUCCUCCAGGCACAGGAAGAGAUCCUCUGACGGGUCUGGCUGGCACAGGGUCUACUGACGGCUUACUGUGAUGGGAUCGAGGAGCUCCCUCCUUGGCUGCUGUGGGCCUGGUACCUGCUGGAAGGUGAGUAGGAACAGGGACCUCGUAAACCCUCGAGGUUUUGUGGGGGUCACUCAGGCCUACGCACUCUGAGCUCAUGUGUUCCUGUGUCUCCUCUGGUUCCUUUAUCUCAGCAAACUCACUGGGGACCCACGAACUUCCAUGUAAGCCCAGAAAGGAAGCAAGGCUCCCUGGAGGCAAGAAAGACAUUUCCCAUCUCUGGCUAAACCAACAUCUGUAACUUGGAACAUUAGGGGUGAUGGGGCAUGGUUUGAUGCCACAAGCCCCUAAGCCAGUUAUUCAACGGGAACUCACUGGGAAGCUUGACGAGUCAAGCAACCUCUAUGUUGUCACGGCUGCAAAAGAUCUGCAAAAAGGAGGGGAGAGCCGAGUUAAGAUGGCCUUUUCAAACUGGUGUGGGAAUGUCUUGAGUUGUCUCUUGUUACGUUAAAGUCUGAAACUGUCUUCCUAAACAUCUUUUACCCAAAGACUCAUAAGCUACAUAUCACACUGCUGUUAGAAUGAGCUCUGACCUCUAGUCCCCAUAAACACUUGUAUAGCAUAGUCAGUAAAGGUUACAAAAAUUGACAAUUCCAGUAUGAGUAGUAACCGUGAACAUACACUCCGGUGAAUUACGAUUCAAUCAAAGGCCAAAAAAAAAAUGUUCCCACGAUGGGUGAAGUGUGAACAACUCUAAUUGUAAACUUUUUUCCCCGUGUUUUAUAGUCUAAUGUUCUGUGAACCUUUUUCUUUCUCCCUAUCUAGAGUCCUGUUUUGUAAACUUUUUCCUUUUCUUUGUCUAAAGUCCAAUGUCCUGUUGGUUGUAAAAUUCCGAAAUCCGGUUUGAAAUAUCACAGUCCUUGAGUGUUAACUGUAAAACUUUUUGUCCUUGUCCUGUUUAAAUACUGAGAAGGUGCUUUUGCCACUCA